rnacentral:tRNA from 1 species
AAUUAAGAAGCAAUUUUGCAUUCAGUUUCGACCUGAAAGAAAGAUUAUUUAAUCCUUAAUUA